UACGUAGGGCGCAAGCGUUGUCCGGAAUUAUUGGGCGUAAAGAGCUCGUAGGCGGCUUGUCACGUCGGAUGUGAAAGCCCGGGGCUUAACUCCGGGUCUGCAUUCGAUACGGGCUGGCUAGAGUGUGGUAGGGGAGAUCGGAAUUCCUGGUGUAGCGGUGAAAUGCGCAGAUAUCAGGAGGAAUACCGAUGGCGAAGGCAGGUCUCUGGGCCAAUACUGACGCUCAUGCACGAAAGCGUGGGGAGCAAACAGG
rnacentral:rRNA from 1 species